GAUGAACGCUAGCGGCAGGCCUAACCCAUGCAAGUCGAGGGGCAGCACGAUUGCUUGCAAUUGGUGGCGACCGGCGCACGGAUGCGUAACGCGUAUGCAACCUACCCUCUACAGGAGGAUAGCCCGGGGAAACUCGGAUUAAUACUCCAUAAUGUUAUAAGACAGCAUUGUUUAAUAAUUAAAGAUUUAUCGGUAGAGGAUGGGCAUGCGUAAGAUUAGCUAGUUGGUAAGGUAAUGGCUUACCAAGGCUACGAUCUUUAGGGGGCCUGAGAGGGUGAACCCCCACACUGGUACUGAGACACGGACCAG
rnacentral:rRNA from 1 species